AGUCGAGCGGUAAGGCCUUUCGGGGUACACGAGCGGCGAACGGGUGAGUAACACGUGGGUGAUCUGCCCUGCACUUCGGGAUAAGCCUGGGAAACUGGGUCUAAUACCGGAUAUGACCUCAGGUUGCAUGACUUGGGGUGGAAAGAUUUAUCGGUGCAGGAUGGGCCCGCGGCCUAUCAGCUUGUUGGUGGGGUAAUGGCCUACCAAGGCGACGACGGGUAGCCGACCUGAGAGGGUGACCGGCCACACUGGGACUGAGACACGGCCCAGACUCCUACGGGAGGCAGCAGUGGGGAAUAUUGCACAAUGGGCGAAAGCCUGAUGCAGCGACGCCGCGUGAGGGAUGACGGCCUUCGGGUUGUAAACCUCUUUCAGCAGGGACGAAGCGCAAGUGACGGUACCUGCAGAAGAAGCACCGGCUAACUACGUGCCAGCAGCCGCGGUAAUACGUAGGGUGCAAGCGUUGUCCGGAAUUACUGGGCGUAAAGAGUUCGUAGGCGGUUUGUCGCGUCGUUUGUGAAAACCAGCAGCUCAACUGCUGGCUUGCAGGCGAUACGGGCAGACUUGAGUACUGCAGGGGAGACUGGAAUUCCUGGUGUAGCGGUGAAAUGCGCAGAUAUCAGGAGGAACACCGGUGGCGAAGGCGGGUCUCUGGGCAGUAACUGACGCUGAGGAACGAAAGCGUGGGUAGCGAACAGGAUUAGAUACCCUGGUAGUCCACGCCGUAAACGGUGGGCGCUAGGUGUGGGUUCCUUCCACGGAAUCCGUGCCGUAGCUAACGCAUUAAGCGCCCCGCCUGGGGAGUACNGGCCGCAAGGCUAAAACUCAGA
rnacentral:rRNA from 1 species